UGAGGAAUAUUGGGCAAUGCCCGCAAGGGUGACCCAGCGACGCCGCGUGGAGGAUGAAUGUCGUAAGAUUGUAAACUCCUGUUAGAGGGGAAGAAUAGUACCGGUUGGACCGGUAUAUGGCUGUACCCUCAGAGAAAGCCCCGGCUAACUACGUGCCAGCAGCCGCGGUAAUACGUAGGGGGCAAGCGUUGUCCGGAUUUACUGGGUGUAAAGGGCGCGCAGGCGGGAUAAAAAGUCAGUGGUGAAAUCCUACAGCUUAACUGUAGAACUGCCUUUGAUACUUUUAUUCUUGAGUUCGGGAGAGAGAGACGGAAUUCCAGGUGUAGUGGUGAAAUACGUAGAUAUCUGGAAGAACACCAGUUGCGAAGGCGGUCUCUUGGUCCGACACUGGCGCUGAGGCGCGAAAGCGUGGGGAGCAAACA
rnacentral:rRNA from 1 species